rnacentral:lncRNA from 1 species
CCCAGGCCUGUGGGGACCGCAGGAGAGUGAGGAGGAGAGCAGAGACCAGGGGGACGAAAGGCUACCCCAGCCCAGGAGACUGGAGCCCUCUGAGGAGGGCACAUUUGCAUGGGGGCUCGAGGCGGGAGGAGCCCAGGUCAGUGCCAAGGCCACACACCGGCAGCCCACCUCUGGGCAAGUCACUGUACCUCUCUGAGCCCCAGUUUCCCACCCACGACGUGUGGACAGCAGCUGCCCCCUCCCCAGGUUGUGGGGUGGAAGUCCUGCUCACAGAAUGGGGUCUCCGUGGAGGAAUAAGGUCUGGAGAGCCUGAGGACCCUGCCCGACCCCAGUAGGUCUCAAGUGGAGGAGACCCCCAAGUGUGUCAAGGUUCUGGAACCGUCUGUGGUUGGGACAGCUGGGGAGGGGGCUGCUGCUGGCAUCUGUGGGUAGAGACCAGAGAUGCUGCUCAGCAUCCUGCGGUGCCCAGCACGGCAACCACAGCAGAGAAGCACCCAUCCCCAAGGUCAACGGUGCGGGGGGGCAAAGGCAGGACCACCAACCCCAAAGCCCACUCCUCAUCUCUCGGCGUGGCUCAGAAUCCCCAGGCCAGGCCAGCAGCCCAUGCGGAGGAUCGAGACGUCUGGUUUUUGACAGACAUCCACGAUGAGUCACACAUUCAGUGAAGUUUCAGAAAAACUAAACUUCUUUGUGCUUAUAAAGUGCCAGGCACGUAGUAGCCACCCCCCGCACAAAAAUCCAUUACAAGUUUAAAGUACAGCUAUUAUUUUUACAGCAUUGCUUAGAAAUGGCUUGCAAUCUCUAAUUUGCUAAAUUGAUGUGUAUAUUGACUAAAUAAAUAUUCGGCACGAAGCCCAA